CCGGUGCCCGAGGGUGCCGCGGAACAGUGGAAAGAGAGUUACGGUGUUAUGGUGAUCGGCCGCAUAAACUGCGCUCUAGACGGCCUUAAAGGGUGAAAAAACCUGUCUUCGUAGUUGCCAGUGAUGAUGGAGCAGUGUCUCACCGAUGGAGGAGUCGUGGGAUGGCUCGUAAACGUGCGGGCGCCAGGGACGCUUUGGAGGGACUAGGAAGAUGAAAUCAAAAGGAAAAAAGGAGAAAGAUCCCCCCUGCAAAUCCAGAUCCCCCCUGCAAAUCCAUGCACCGGUUCAUCUGCUCGGCUGCUGCUGCUUGACGGAGGUUCAAAGCAGAAGUAACUGCCUAGCGAAGAACCAUGGAAACUCAUUAGCUGCAGAGACGAGCAGACGGCCCAAAGAGCAGAAGAGCGAGCACGCCGAUGUGAACCGUAUCGAGACCGCAGUUGACGGCUGAACGCCUUUGAUCCCGCAUGACAGAGCGAUGAACUUUGGGUUUCGUGUGAAAGAGUAGGAAAAUCGAUAUUGUAAGGCCUCAUUUGUUAAAGCGUGGUGUGAACUGUGUCAAGAUUCAGAAUCCUGCAUGAGAGAUAAAGU